AUACAUAAGGAGCAAGCGUUAUCCGGAAUUAUUGGGCGUAAAGAGCUCGUAGGCGGUCUUAAAAGUCAGGUGUGAAAUUAUCAGGCUCAACCUGAUAAGGUCAUCUGAAACUUUAAGACUUGAGGAUAGAAGAGGAAAGUGGAAUUCCCGGUGUAGCGGUGCAAUGCGUAGAUAUCGGGAGGAACACCAGUGGCGAAGGCGGCUUUCUGGUCUAUCUCUGACGCUGAGGAGCGAAAGCUAGGGGAGCAAACAGGAUUAGAUACCCUGGUAGUCC
rnacentral:rRNA from 1 species